rnacentral:rRNA from 1 species
UGCGUAGGUGGUUUCUUAAGUCAGGAGUGAAAGGCUACGGCUCAACCGUAGUAAGCUCUUGAAACUGGGAAACUUGAGUGCAGGAGAGGAAAGUGGAAUUCCUAGUGUAGCGGUGAAAUGCGUAGAUAUUAGGAGGAACACCAGUAACGAAGGCGGCUUUCUGGACUGUAACUGACACUGAGGCACGAAAGCGUGGGGAGGCAAAACA